CUUGCAGGCGCCACAAGGCAGCUAUAGGCAAGACACAAUUCAGAAAACAGAGACAAUCCUUUCCUUCAACAGUUUAUAUUUUAAUUGUAGAAAAGUCCACACAAAAAAAAGAAAGGUGAAGACGGAAGAAGGGAGAUGAAGGCAGAGAAGAACAGUAAGAGCAAUGAAGACAUGACUGGCCUGUGAUCUCCUUAAGUGGAGAUUCAUAAAGGAAACAUCCAACCCAAGGGAAAGACCAUAGAUUCUGCAAAGUCCAGUGGCAGGAAGUCAGGAUGAUUGACCAUGGCCUGGAAGCAAUAGACAACCUUGGCGUCUUUGAUGAUUGACCAAGCUUUAGACUCCAAUGUACUCUGAAGUCCAAUGUGGCCCCAGUUCCCAGCAGACCUCCAGGGCUUAUUCUGUUUCAAGAGACGAUUACCCUCACCAUAGCAAUAUCAUGUUUGCAUGGUUACAAGGACUUCCACAGAGGAAAAGAUAUUCCUGGCAACCCAAACUUGAAAUAAUCCUGGGAUUUCCCAGGUUUAAAUUUGAUUCCCUCCAUCCAUUCAUGAAGAAUUUACAUACUAAAGCAAAUUGUGAUGGGUGUUUGGUUGUUUGUUUGUUUAAUGGUGAACUGGUAUUUGUACCAAAGUAAGACUGUAUAAAAAUGCUUGUCAAUUUAAAAAACUCUUAUGAUAGUUAAUAAAUUAUAAGCAUCUUCAGAAAUGGACCAUGUUAAGUCAAGAUGCAUUUAUUAAUCAUUUAGCAGGAAUCAAGCACUUUGC
rnacentral:lncRNA from 1 species